rnacentral:tRNA from 1 species
UAUAUUUAAGUAUAUGAAGUACAUGGGUUUUUGAUAUCCAAAGAGAUAGUUUGAAUCUAUUAAAUGUAA